rnacentral:rRNA from 2 species
GAUACUGGGAAACUUGAAUGCAGAAAACGACAAUGGAACUCCAUGUGUAGCGGUGGAAUGCGUAGAUAUAUGGAAGAACACCAGUGGCGAAGGCGGCUGUCUAGUCUGUAACUGACGCUGAGGCUCGAAAGCAUGGGUAGCGAACAGGAUUAGAUACCCUGGUAGUCCAUGCCGUAAACGAUGAGUGCUAAGUGUUGGAGGGUUUCCGCCCUUCAGUGCUGCAGCUAACGCAUUAAGCACUCCGCCUGGGGAGUACGACCGCAAGGUUGAAACUCAAAGGAAUUGACGGGGGCCCGCACAAGCGGUGGAGCAUGUGGUUUAAUUCGAAGCUACGCGAAGAACCUUACCAGGUCUUGACAUCUUCUGCCAAUCUUAGAGAUAAGACGUUCCCUUCGGGGACAGAAUGACAGGUGGUGCAUGGUUGUCGUCAGCUCGUGUCGUGAGAUGUUGGGUUAAGUCCCGCAACGAGCGCAACCCUUAUUAUCAGUUGCCAGCAUUCAGUUGGGCACUCUGGUGAGACUGCCGGUGACAAACCGGAGGAAGGUGGGGAUGACGUCAAAUCAUCAUGCCCCUUAUGACCUGGGCUACACACGUGCUACAAUGGACGGUACAACGAGUCGCGAAGUCGUGAGGCUAAGCUAAUCUCUUAAAGCCGUUCUCAGUUCGGAUUGUAGGCUGCAACUCGCCUACAUGAAGUUGGAAUCGCUAGUAAUCGCGGAUCAGCAUGCCGCGGUGAAUACGUUCCCGGGCCUUGUACACACCGCCCGUCACACCAUGAGAGUUUGUAAC